rnacentral:tRNA from 1 species
AGUCUUGUAUUCAAUAAUGAUAUAAAAUUGCAAAUUUUAAGAGGUAAGAAAAUUACUAAGGCUU